rnacentral:misc_RNA from 1 species
CAACCCUCAAGCCCUAGUGCUUGGCGUUGGGGCUUCUCUACAGCUCGCUGUAGGCCCCGAAAACCAGUGGCGGGCCCGUCGAGACCCCGAGCGUAGUAGUAUCUCUCAGCGCUUAGGGCGUCCGGCGGGUGCAACCAGCCGUAAACACCCCCAAAUCUAAAA